UUUUGUUAUCAGUGUUGUAAUUAAUGUUCGUGGUUUGAAUAAAAGUGUAACUUUGAGUAUGUCGAGGAACGUCAGGAACGAAAUAUUUCGACUGUUUGUUUCCAUCACGAUCAUUUCAGGUGAAACACAGUGUGAACAGCAUGGCUGAUGAACCUCCAAUUGAAGAAAAAUAAAUAAAUAAAACCCCUCAAAUAAAGAGGGUGAGGAUAAAGUAGACUGGCGAAAAUGGAAAGCACAAAAAAAAGGGGAGAAACAACGAGAGCAAACAGAUUCAGCAGAAACAGAGAGAAAGUAAAGGUCAUCCAUAUACAUUGAGUGUGGCACUUCCUGGUUCUGCAAACAGACAAAAAUGAGCUUGAACGUUUUGGUUUGUGUUCCACAGAAGAAAGAAAGUCAUAGAUGGCAUAAAGGUGCUGUGUUCACAGAGUGUCUGUAUAAAGAGGGUUAUGAUCUGACCAUUGGUACAUCAGAGAGAGGAAAAAACACAGAUCAAAUCACUCUGCAUUCAAGAAGCCAUAUUGAUCUCCCUAUCAGGACUGAGGCAGGAAAUCUUGACUUGUCCAAAGGAAGACCACAGGAAGUAGAUUUACCCUGCGACUGUCUGGAACAGGAAGUUCAUGUUCAACGGUUUCCAAUCGGCAAAAGACUGGCUUGAGCGAGGAAGUGAACACUUCAGGUGUAUACUUAAGUCACACAAGGCUUUUGAAACUUAAAGUGGGAACACACUUUGAACUCUUUAUCAAUGUGCAUUUGUUUUGUAUCAUUUUGUAUUUACAUUUCUAUGAAAUAUCUGUCUGUAUCAAUUAACUGCCAUGAUUAUUUAUGUCUGUUUUGUGUUAAGAACAGAAAACAAAAGAAUCAUGAAUCUCACGCUUCUUUUUUCAAACGUAUACAUCUAUUUAUUUUGAAGGCAGGCAUGUAAAGAACAUUCAUAAUGAGAGACGAGCACAGCAAAACAAUUGGAGCUCAUACUGUCAUGUCACUGCAUUCAGAGUAUAUAAUUAUGAUAAUAGUACAUUCCUUAUACUGCUUUCAACCUUCAGCCAUGUUUAAAAUCAAUAUGCAAUACAAAUCUCAGUACAAAUGCCCCAGAUAAUAACAUACCCGUUCACUGCCCUUGCACAAGGGCUGAUGGUUGAUUUGAAAGGACUAAAUGAAUGGAUAAUUUAUCAUUUAUAUUGCUGGUCGUUUAGACUGGGAGUUGACAGUAAAAAUGUUGAAGAUGUUUACAAUAAAAGUGCACUGAAUGUUGAUUUUUAACACUGGUUUUGAUGUAGUUCCUCUUAUAGGAAUAUUACGAGUUCAAUACACGUUAAGCUCAAUCGACAGCAUUUGUGGCACAAUGUUUAUUACCACAAAAAUUAAUUUACACUUGUCUCUCCUUUUCUUAAAAAAAAAAAAAAAAAUGAUUAGGGGUCCUGGGUAGCUCAGUGGUAAAGAUGCUGACUACCACCCCUGGAGUUGUGAGUUUGAAUCCCAGGGCGUGCUGAGUGACUCCAGCCAGGUCUCUUAAGCAACCAAAUUGGCCCGGUUGCUAGGGAGGGUGGAGUCACAUGGGGUAACCUCCUUGUGGUCGCUAUAAUGUUGUUCGCUCUCGGUGGGGUGUGUGGUGAGUUGGGCAUGGAUGCCGCUGAGAAUAGCAUAACGGCUCCACAUGUGCUACAUCUCCGCGGUAACGCACUCAACAAGCCACGUGAUAAGAUGCGCGGAUUGACGGUCUCAGACGCGGAGGCAACUGAGAUUCGUCCUCCGCCACCCGGAUUGAGGCGAGUCACUAUGCCACCACAAGAACUGAGAGCACAUUGGGAAUUGGGCAUUCCAAAUUGAGGAGAAAAAAAAAAAUAUAUAUA